AUUGAAAAAAUUAAAUAAGAAUCUCUUCCCUAAACCGAUUUUCCUUUGUUAAUUUAAAUAAAAAAAAGUGAAAAGAAAAAAAGUUUCGAAAGCCCUAACCCAUCGUCCCCCACACACUUCAUUUCUUCAGUUCCUCAACAUUUCCUAAAUUCCCCUUUUCUCUCUUGGAAAACUACUUCUUGAAUUUCGCUGGUAAGUUGUAUGCAUCUCGUUCAUAAAAUGUUCUCAUCGUAUGAAUUUCACUCAAGAUUUUGGUGUGCAGCAUCAAUUGCAAUCUUAAUAAUCGUUUGCACUUGAAUUGAUCUCGAUCGAAUUUGGCAGCAAAUGGUAUUUGGUGCUGAUUAAAACGCAAUCUUCGAUCCCUAAAAACAUCCAAUCCCUAAAAGUUCUUUCGAAUGUAACUUGUAUGAGCCUAGGCAAAGGGGGAGUAUUCUUCAUGGUUCCCAGUUUCAAUAAGCAAAUGCAAGCACUUGAGCAAUCAACACAAUUGUAAGCAUCGCAGAUGAUGGAUUUUGGCUCAUUGUUGAGAGGGUUCUGUUCUAUAUGGGCAACACAUCAGUACUACAGUGGUACUACAUAUUCCCAAGCGAAGAUAUAUUGUCGAGUUAAGGGAUUUAUGGGUUACCUAUGAGUCCAACCUUAAAGAACUAGAUGAAGAGUGAAGAUGGUAUGGAUUAUGAAGAUGAUGAUGUGACGUAGGUGAUUUAUGACUUCAUUUUAAUUUUAGAAUUUUGUAUUUCUUUACAAAGAAGAUUAUAGGAAGAAAUAUUAAUUAUCUUUAGAUGUUAGACAUUUUUUGUGAUAUUUUUUGGGAUUAUUGAAAAGCAAGGUUUGGAUUA